rnacentral:rRNA from 1 species
GACGAACGCUGGCGGCGUGCUUAACACAUGCAAGUCGAACGCUGAAGCUCAGCUUUUGUUGGGUGGAUGAGUGGCGAACGGGUGAGUAACACGUGAGUAACCUGCCUCCUUCUUUGGGAUAACGCCCGGAAACGGGUGCUAAUACUGGAUAUUCACUGGUCUUCGCAUGGGGGUUGGUGGAAAGGGUUUUUCUGGUGGGGGAUGGGCUCGCGGCCUAUCAGCUUGUUGGUGGGGUGAUGGCCUACCAAGGCUUUGACGGGAAGCCGGCCUGAGAGGGUGACCGGUCACAUUGGGACUGAGAUACGGCCCAGACUCCUACGGGAGGCAGCAGUGGGGAAUAUUGCACAAUGGGCGCAAGCCUGAUGCAGCGACGCCGCGUGAGGGAUGGAGGCCUUCGGGUUGUGAACCUCUUUCGCUCAUGGUCAAGCCGCAACAAUGGUUGUGGUGAGGGUAGUGGGUAAAGAAGCGCCGGCUAACUACGUG